GAGAAAGGCCUCUGCAUCCUGCUGGACCACUCUGAUUUUCCUGUCCCUACUUGAAUGGAAUGGAAGAUCUGUUUCGGAGAAGAACAGUAUUGGAGAAACCUGCACUAGUGUUUCAGACCCUUUAAAUGACUCAGCUACCACCACAUCAUAACAGAACACAGCCCCUCAGUUCCUGCUGUGCUCCAUUGUCAUUAGCAGAGUUCCUUCUUUUCCUUGUAUGAAUUCAUUUCAAAAUCUAAAUCAAAAUAAAAAUUCAUUCACCUUU